rnacentral:rRNA from 1 species
UAAUUUAAAGUCUAGCCUGCCCAAUGAUUAUUAAUUGAAUGGCCGCGGUAUUUUGACCGUGCUAAGGUAGCAUAAUAAUUAGUUUUUUAAUUGAGAACUGGUAUGAAUGGUUGGACAAAGAAAAUUCUGUCUCAGGUUUAAUUUAAUUAGAAUUUUAUUUUUAAGUAAAAAAGCUUAAAUAAUUUUAAAAGACGAGAAGACCCUAUAGAGUUUUAUAUUAUUUAUUAUAAAUAAUUUAAGGAAUUUUAUGUUUUAUAUAAUAAAUAGUAUUUUGUUGGGGUGACAAAAAAAUUUAAUUAACUUUUUUUAUAUAAAAUCAUUAAUUUAUGAUUAAAUGAUCCAUAAUUUAUGAUUAUAAGAUUAAAUUACCUUAGGGAUAACAGC